GUGGGGAAUUUUGGACAAUGGGCGAAAGCCUGAUCCAGCCAUGCCGCGUGCAGGAUGAAGGCCUUCGGGUUGUAAACUGCUUUUGUACGGAACGAAAAGACUCCUUCUAAUAAAGGGGGUCCAUGACGGUACCGUAAGAAUAAGCACCGGCUAACUACGUGCCAGCAGCCGCGGUAAUACGUAGGGUGCAAGCGUUAAUCGGAAUUACUGGGCGUAAAGCGUGCGCAGGCGGUUAUAUAAGACAGAUGUGAAAUCCCCGGGCUCAACCUGGGAACUGCAUUUGUGACUGUAUAGCUAGAGUACGGUAGAGGGGGAUGGAAUUCCGCGUGUAGCAGUGAAAUGCGUAGAUAUGCGGAGGAACACCGAUGGCGAAGGCAAUCCCCUGGGCCUGCACUGACGCUCAUGCACGAAAGCGUGGGGAGCAAACAGGAUUAGAUACCCCGGUAGUCC
rnacentral:rRNA from 1 species